rnacentral:lncRNA from 1 species
CCCCCAGAGCAAAUUGCAGUUAGCAUGACAAAAGAUUUAAUAAGUCCCUGUGGUACAGUAGCACAUAAAGUACAUGUGUGUGUCAGCUACACUGAUUGCGGUCUAGUCAUUCAUAAAAUGCUCCUGGUUUCCAGUAUUGCAAAAUUUACCUUGUUGACUAAUCAUGUCUAGAAGUUUUAGAUCAGCCUAAAAAUUAGACUUUUUGUGAACAGAUCCCAGAAUGCUGAGUUGUCCAUUGGAAAAUUGUUAAAUGAUUGGUAAGUGUUUUUUUGAAUGGGUGUCUUAAAAAUGUGUAAAAUGGUCACAGUAAAGUAAAUAGAUGAAUAAAUUGUUGAGAAAAUUAUUUGAAAUGGAGAAGCAACAAACAUUGUUUUUCCAGUGUAAAAAAUGUUGGAAUGAGAAAAUGAAUAAGGACCAAGAAUAAAAAAAACAUACUAAGAAAAAUGUUUUUUUUUUUUUUCUAAAACUAUUUUUACUUCUUCAAAAUGCUAUGAAAUGGUUCAAAGACAUGAAUAUGAAGAUAUGCCCUCAUAAUAUGUAUAAAUUGAGGGUUUUAUCUUUUGCACCAGCUAGAAUGUUAGCUCAUCCCUUUUAAAUACUAGAACAACUGGAGAGCACACCAAUUUUUACACAAUAUUAAGUAGUCCCAGAUUAAUUGAAUGGAGCAGGGUCCAACAACAUAGAAUGCACUGAUAACAAAAAUAGUUUUUUUACUAAAGCAUAAGGUUCCUUACUUAACACUUGUUUUUGUUAUUAGUAUUUCCUUUCAUUAGGGUUGCAUCAGAGUCCAGCACCAGAUACAAAUAACCCAACCCUGCAUGUGCAUGAGUUAUUGUAAUGAUAUUUAUGAAAGGCUCAAUAGCCUAAAGAGCUAAAAAAAAAUUAAUCAAACUCUUUUAUUCCCACAGCAUUAAUAUCCCUGGCACUUGAGUGCACCCUGAAUAGUAAAACCAGUUACCAAGUAGUCAGACAACAUAUUGUCAGCCAAUAACUAUUCCACAUGGGAUACUUGUAUACAGACCUUCUGAUUCUGUGGCAUCUCUUUGCCAUUAUAAGACAUCGUUUUAUGCAUUAAAACUGUUAAUUUGUCUCAGUGGUGCAUUUCAUGCACACCUGCUCCACCUUUUUAUUCAAAGAAAAGUGAACUUUUUGAGAAUAAUUAUUAUUACUGUCAUGGGAAUUUAUCCAGAAUGUAAUUGGUACAUGCUGCUUCUUUAAAUAUUUUAUGAAACAUUUAGUUUUCAGCAGCCGGUGUUGACAUUUUGGUGAAGUGUUAAUAAAGUACCUAAUGUAAAAAGAAUUUCUUCAUCUUCUGUUUUCUGCUUCUAUUUAAGUUUUAUGGGAUUACAUCGAGCAAUUAUCAAAAUGAUAAAUGGAAUAUUGUAUAAUGUUGUAUCCAUUUAUAAAUUAUAAUUCUUCUUAGGCUAGAGAUAAAGAAAAAGACACGACAGACAAAACCUGAAGUGAGGGAUGACAAAGUGCUUGAGUUGGAGAAGAAGCUAGCAGAGAGGAAAGCUGCAAGAUUAGAAGAACAGGGCAAAGAAAGACUAGACUCCAGGAAGCAAACACAGAGGGCUAGGAGUUUUAUCAACGCAAAGAGAGCUUCAGAGGAGAAGCGCUGGGAAGAGCUGGAGAAGACGAAGGAAAGGACCGCCAAGUUGACCUCACAGGGCAUGUACAAUAGUAAAGGUGCAAAUAAACUGAUGGCAUCAAACAGGAUCUCUGUGGUGACAUAGACACAAAUACUAAAUCGUCCAAGAACUUGGUUUCAAACUGAAAGUUCAGCGUCCUAUUCAGUUACUUACACUACAGGCAUAAGGCUCAUACUUUAAAACAAGUCUUUAUUAAAUUGGCUGGCCUGCUUCAGGUGUGAGUGAGAUUCAUGUUGAACAUCAAACCCACGAAACAAUCUGAUAUUUUGUUGGAGUAGAUUUAAGCUUUGAUUGUACUGUAUGUAUUCCCCCUUGGAGGAAUUUUAUGCUGAUAUCUUGCAAAAAUCUAUUAAAGUGCUGGACACAUGCCCACUGGAAAACUGGUUUUAAAAAGUAAUACAAUGAUACAUAUUAUAUAUAGAAAUAAAAAUGCCAUUAUGCACAUG